UUAAAUGAAUUGACGGGGCCGACACAAGCGGUGGAGCAUGUGGUUAAUUCGACGCAACGCGAGAACCUUACCAGGGCUUGACAUCCCCUGACCGCGUAUGAAAGUACGUUUUCACCCUCGGGUGACAGGGAGACAGGUGGUGCAUGGUUGUCGUCAGCUCGUGUCGUGAGAUGUUGGGUUAAGUCCCGCAACGAGCGCAACCCCUACGUUUAGUUGCUAACGCGUGAAGGCGAGCACUCUAGACGAACUGCCGUUGACAAAACGGAGGAAGGUGGGAUGACGUCAAAUCAUCAUGCCCCUUAUGUUCUGGGCUACACACGUGCUACAAUGGCCGGUACAGACGGACGCAAAGCCGCGAGGUGGAGCAAAUCCUAAAAAGCCGGUCUCAGUUCGGAUUGCAGGCUGCAAUUCGCCUGCAUGAAGUCGGAAUCGCUAGUAAUCGCAGGUCAGCAUACUGCGGUGAAUACGUUCCCGGGCCUU
rnacentral:rRNA from 1 species